rnacentral:rRNA from 1 species
AUUGAACGCUGACGGCAGGCCUAACACAUGCAAGUCGAGCGGGGGUAGCAAUACCCUAGCGGCGAACGGGUGAGGAAUGCUUGGGAAUCUGCCUCGUAGUGGGGGAUAACGUUCCGAAAGGAACGCUAAUACCGCAUACGUCCUACGGGAGAAAGGGGGGGAUCUUCGGACCUCUCGCUAUGAGAUGAGCCCAAGCGGGAUUAGCUAGUUGGUGAGGUAAAAGCUCACCAAGGCGACGAUCCCUAGCUGGUCUGAGAGGAUGAUCAGCCACACUGGAACUGAGACACGGUCCAGACUCCUACGGGAGGCAGCAGUGGGGAAUAUUGGACAAUGGGCGCAAGCCUGAUCCAGCCAUGCCGCGUGUGUGAAGAAGGCCUUCGGGUUGUAAAGCACUUUAAGCGAGGAGGAAGGUUCGUUACUUAAUACGUAACGGAAUUGACGUUACUCGCAGAAUAAGCACCGGCUAACUCUGUGCCAGCCGCCGCCGUAACAC